rnacentral:misc_RNA from 1 species
UUAAGUUCAGCGGGUAGCCCUACCUGAUUUGAGGUCAGAGUGCAAAAUAUGGGGGGUUAUGAGCGGGCCGCCUCGACGAGUGCUUACAACGUCUGUGCGAAUCCACUAACACUUUUAAGGCCAGCCGGUCAGGCAAGGCCCAAAUCCAACUCACCCCGGGCAAAAACCCGAGGGGUUGAGUCUACAUGACACUCAAACAG